rnacentral:rRNA from 1 species
GUACACACCGCCCGUCACACCAUGGGAGUUGGGUUUACCCGAAGACGGUGCGCUAACCCGCAAGGGAGGCAGCCGGCCACGGUAGGCUCAGCGACUGGGGUGAAGUCGUAACAAGGUUUCCGUAGGUGAACCUGCAGAAGGAUCA